GGAAGGAGACAGAAAAGGGAGUAGAGAUGUGAAGACCACUUAAAGAGGAAAAAACGAACCAAGUGGAGAUGAAUAUCAUAAAGAAGAAUAGGACAGGGUAAGAAGUUAGAAAAAAAAUUUUUUUUAAAAAUUCCAGUUAAAAUAAUAAAAGGUAAGAUCAGAAUACUUCUAAAAGGAUAAGGAAUAAGAAGAAGCACUCUAAAAAGGAAAAAAAAAUCAAGAUUACCCAAUAAUGAAAAAUAUGCAUAAACAAAAUGAGAUAAUUAAAUGAUGAGAAUAAAAGACAAAUUUUAAGACUACAAUAAAAGUGCCUCUAACAGCUUAACAAUGACAAGAGGGAAAGUGAAGAAUCCCCAGAGUUAAAAAGAAGGGGUGUGUGUGCGAAGUGCUGGAAUGGAUUCCUUCUAGGUCCUAGAAAAUUGGAGAUUACCAGUUACAUGACAUGGUGGGGAUCAUAGCCCUUUAAACUGUGGGCUGAUGUCUUGCCUGUAGUUUAAGUUUCCUGAUGCUCUGUUGGACACUCUCUGCUGGUUACCAGAGUUGUUUUCAGAUUGGUGGCUUCCCUUUGUAUAUCAGAGUACACAGGUUUUAAGUCUGUGUGCUGGGAAAAUGCUGUCACCCCACUGAGACAAUCCAGAUUGCAUCCCCUGAGAUAGCCAAUGUCUUAGCUGUGAGGUAUCUCCCAAGUGCACUGGGCAUGUGCUAAGUGACCAUAGAAGACAUUUUCUAGAUAGAUGGAGAGCCUGUCUUCAUGCAUGCAAGAACUUCUAAGUUUAUCAAUGAGCCUACUAGUAGAAUAUAGCUCUGUAUUUCAUGGCUGGAACUUGAGUUCUCAGGCUCUGUGGCCAUCAGGCAAAGAAAUGGUUCAUGCUGCUCAUCUACCCACUGAUUUCAGACUCAGUUCUCCAUACAAGGUUUGCUCUCAGUUGAUGAGAACUAUUCCCAGAUACUAAUGGUAGGGCUUUCUUUCCUUAUGCACUUACUUCCUGCCUAAACUGAGCUCCCUUCCAACUGAACCUGUAGUUUAUCAGCAGCGGGCAUCCUGCUCUCCAUGGGACAUCUUGUCCUUCCUGGGCCUCUUCUACUCUAGGUCUGUGGCAGGCCAAAUCCAGACUCUCAGGGUUAUGGUUUUUCCCCCGCGCUUUCUUUCCCUGUUUAUCUCAGGAUUCUGUUGUUGUUUUUAAUCCCUUCAAAUAAGUAAAUAAAUAAAUAAAAUUUAUUCAUUGAAAAUGAUGUAGGUGAAUACUGCAUUUGCAUAGUUCCCCUUCCUUCUCAUCUUUCUAACUCCUCCCAUGUUGUGCUCUCCUAAGUUCUCCUUCCCAAAUUCGUAGCCUUCCAUUCUUAGCUCAAUUUUUAGCAAUAGACUUUCAAGAUCUUUCAGAGCCUACACUCUGGUUCCCAUAGAGUGACUAAAUAGGAAUUUUCACUGCCACAGACCUGUGCAAUGGAAGACCACUGUCUCACCAAGAACUGAGAUGGACUUGAAACCUGUGAGUGCUGUGAGACUGUCCUUGGGGUCAGUGCCCAAGUCUCUUGCCUGGCUUAGCUUUUGAAACGGCUUCUGCUUCUUUCAUCUUCACCAUGGAGUCAUGAAAAUGGAAUUAUUUGGUUGUAUCUUUUAAGCCUGUCACCUUCUCUGACCUGUCAUUAUUCUUUGUGUUGCCUUUUCGAUUUCCAAACCGUUUCACUCCACUCUUCUUCAGAUUGAUCCCCCUAUUCUGACUCCUUUCUGUUUUUCUGUUUUUCUUUUCUAUUAGAUUGUGCCUGGGGAAUGUCUGAUCCAUGUUUAAUGACAGAGCUCUUACUUAUAGGCAUUCAUCUCCAUUAUGUCUGGAGCAGAGAGAAAUCUGCAUUUCCAACGUGGACAACAAGACUUCCAUGUGG
rnacentral:lncRNA from 1 species